rnacentral:rRNA from 1 species
UUGGCCUACGGGACGCAGCAGUGGGGAAUAUUGCACAAUGGGGGAAGCCCUGAUGCAGCAACGCCGCGUGGGUGAAGAAGCAUUUCGGUAUGUAAAGCUCUAUCAGCAGGGAAGAGAAUGACGGUACCUGACUAAGAAGCCCCGGCUAACUACGUGCCAGCAGCCGCGGUAAUACGUAGGGGGCGAGCGUUAUCCGGAUUUACUGGGCGUAAAGGGAGCGUAGACGGUUCUGCAAGUCUGAAGUGA